UACAGAGGGUGCAAGCGUUUGUUCGGAAUCAUUGGGCGUAAAGGGCGUGUAGGCGGUUUGUUAAGUCAUGUGUGAAAUCCCUCGGCUCAACCGGGGAACGACGCAUGAAACUGACAAGCUAGAGUACCAAAGAGGGGGGGUGGAAUUCCCGGUGUAGCGGUGAAAUGCGUAGAUAUCGGAAGGAACAUCAGUGGCGAAAGCGGCUUCCUGGUCCAGCACCGACGUCAGGCACGAAAGCGUGGGGAGCAAACAGG
rnacentral:rRNA from 1 species